UACGUAGGGUGCGAGCGUUGUCCGGAAUUAUUGGGCGUAAAGAGCUCGUAGGCGGUGUGUCGCGUCGGCCGUGAAAACCUGCAGCUUAACUGUGGGCGUGCGGUCGAUACGGGCAUCACUGGAGUUCGGCAGGGGAGACUGGAAUUCCUGGUGUAGCGGUGAAAUGCGCAGAUAUCAGGAGGAACACCGGUGGCGAAGGCGGGUCUCUGGGCCGAUACUGACGCUGAGGCGCGAAAGCGUGGGGAGCAAACAGG
rnacentral:rRNA from 1 species